CCUACGGGUGGCAGCAGUCGAGAAUCAUUCACAAUGGGGGAAACCCUGAUGGUGCGACGCCGCGUGGGGGAAUGAAGGUCUUUGGAUUGUAAACCCCUGUCAUGUGGGAGCAAAUUAAAAAGAUAGUACCACAAGAGGAAGAGACGGCUAACUCUGUGCCAGCAGCCGCGGUAAUACAGAGGUCUCAAGCGUUGUUCGGAAUCACUGGGCGUAAAGCGUGCGUAGGCUGUUUCGUAAGUCGUGUGUGAAAGGCGCGGGCUCAACCCGCGGACGGCACCUGAUACUGCGAGACUAGAGUAAGGGAGGGGGAACCGGAAUUCUCGGUGUAGCAGUGAAAUGCGUAGAUAUCGAGAGGAACACUCGUGGCGAAGGCGGGUUCCUGGACAUUAACUGACGCUGAGGCACGAAGGCCAGGGGAGCGAAAGGGAUUAGAUACCCCAGUAGUC
rnacentral:rRNA from 1 species